UCCUUUUAAGGACAGGGAUGCCUGUUUUAGGACAGGCUGACUAGGUUGGGCAAGCAUUUCGUACGCUGUAUUCUAUUUCUUUUGCAUUGUUAAGAUUGGCUUCCAAAACAUUAGAAUACGAUCAAGUAUGUUAUGUAAAUAAUGGUAACAAGUAUAUUUUCACAUAUAAUAAUAGACGUUUAAGAAUAUCUGUUUUCGGUGAAGUGAACUUGCAUGGAUCAAUAAUUUACAGAC
rnacentral:misc_RNA from 1 species